AAAAUACAAAAAUCAAAAAAUCAAAAAAUCAAAAAAUACAAAAAUCAAAAAAUACAAAAAUACAAAAAUACAAAAAUCAAAAAAUCAAAAAAUCAAAAAAUACAAAAAUCAAAAAAUCAAAAAAUACAAAAAAUCAAAAAAUACAAAAAUCAAAAAAUCAAAAAAUACAAAAAUCAAAAAAUCAAAAAAUACAAAAAUCAAAAAAUCAAAAAAUCAAAAAAUACAAAAAUCAAAAAAUACAAAAAAUCAAAAAAUACAAAAAUCAAAAAAUACAAAAAUCAAAAAAUCAAAAAAUACAAAAAAUCAAAAAAUACAAAAAAUCAAAAAAUCAAAAAAUACAAAAAUCAAAAAAUACAAAAAAUACAAAAAACUGUUUUUGUGCUGUCGCGUCUGGGCCACCGUACCAAAGUUUGGAUAAAUUAAUCCAAGACUGCAUUAUUUGCAUAAUAAUGUACUUGUCAUUGACCAAUCAGAAUACAUAGAAGACCGGCCGGUGCCAGGGCCUUUUCCCGCCUUCCCAAUGACAAAAAGGGAAAAGCCCUGGGAACGAGGUUGAUUUACUGCCAAAUACACAUCAAAGCAUGGGGUCUUUGACCCUUCUGAUGCAAGCAUCACAUUGUUUUGACCGAGUCAAGUUGUAUUUCCUGUUUGGACGCACGCUAUUGACACGCUACAAACUGAAAUACCAAAAUAUAAGAUGAAAAUCUGAAGAAACAAGCUUUACUAAGGUUUUCUCAAAAAACUGACUUAACUCUAUUCAUUGCCAUAAUCGUGAACGUGGAGAGUUAUAAAAAAAUGAUAACUCUCUAACAUCUUCAUAAUGUUAACGAGAGAGAGUUACGUCAAGCAUAACUCUCUUAUGUUAGUUCAAGGAAACGUCGGGAGAGUUAAGAAAUUGGGUGUGGUCAUUGGGGAAAGUGGGCGUGUUUUGAACAUAACUCUCCGAAAUCAUAACUCUCCGAGAUAACUCUCCGGUUGGUAACUCUCCCUUUAGUCAUACCCCUGAAUUUGGAGACUGAAUUUGUUGAAACGGCUGUAGCUAAAUAAAAAUCGUCCAGCGUCCAUCGUCCAGUCCAUCCAGCGUUUCCACUUGGAAGGAAAUUUCCUUCAAGAAGGAAAUUUCGGCCUUUGGAAGGAAAUUUGGAAGGAAAUAGCAUUUGGAAGGAAAUUGGGAGGAAAUAUUGUUAUAAGGAUGGAAAUGAGAAGGAAAUUCCAUUUUAUCUCAUAAUUUCUAAGAAUAAGGCAAUUUUCAUACAAUUUUGUGCAAAAGAAGACUCUGCCGAAAAUGCCAUUUCCAACGAUCUAGAGACUCCAUAUUUACAAAAUUUUCCGCUCGGCGCCAACCAUGGUGGCGCCCGUGGGCCCCCCAAAGCGAGAUCUCACGGAUGGUUUUUUUCCAAAGUUGGCAACUAUGUAUCUAGGACAGAACCCCAGAAUCGCUAUAUUGAAAUAUCAACCAAACCUCGUACCC